rnacentral:rRNA from 1 species
UACGGAGGGUGCGAGCGUUAAUCGGAAUUACUGGGCGUAAAGCGUCCGUAGGCGGCUGGUUAAGUCUGAUGUGAAAGCCCUGGGCUUAACCUGGGAACGGCAGUGGAUACUGGCGGGCUAGAGUUCGGGAGAGGGUGGUGGAAUUCCCGGUGUAGCGGUGAAAUGCGUAGAGAUCGGGAGGAACACCAGUGGCGAAGGCGGUCACCUGGCCCGAGACUGACGCUGAGGCGCGAAAGCGUGGGGAGCAAACAGG